rnacentral:siRNA from 1 species
UCCCACGAGCGGCCGCGAAGAUCAG